CUGACAAUGAAUAUCAAGCAGGUCUCUUGCAACUGUGCAGGAUGCAAAUUACUCCUCUUGCUCAGACCGUUUAAACCAGCAGAUCAGUGAGCUGAUAGCCCAUCAAGUAAAAGAGCUGGGAAAAAAAGUAAG
rnacentral:lncRNA from 12 species